AACCCAAUCUUCAACACUUUCGGUGGGUUUAAUUAUCUUUCAUCUUUCUCUUACUUCUUUCUUUCUCGAAGAGGUUUAUCAUAACAUUCGUGAUUAUGAUUUUUUUCAAUCUUCUCACUUCGCGGUCUCUAAUUCGCUUGGUGCAGGUCGGGAACCACUACAUCCGCUGUUUUCGUAGAAACCGGCGGUGAAUUGGAUCCCGCCUUGCAUCAACUGAAUCGGAGGCCGCGGUGAAUCUAUAUGCGGCUGUUGAUUUUUGAUUUUUCGGCUCCUGCAACUCAGAUCUCAUCCACGUGAUUUCUACAAUCAGAAUGGAGGACAUGUUUGGGAGGUUGGUUUUGGCUUUCUAAUUCAAUCCAAAUUAGACUUGAUAAUUACUUCAUAGUAUUUGAGUUGAAGCAAUUGAUAUUGAUUCCUUUUUCUUUAUUGGGAUUGGUUUGAAGUUUGGUGAAUUAAGCAAUGUAAUUUCAAUAUAUAAUGUUUCAUUACAUAAAAGCUUGUUCAAAGCAUGUGUAGUUUUAGCAUUGGAUAUUGGUUUUUUGUUUCAUUACAUGAUUGUGAUAUGUCCUAUCGUUAUAGUAUAAUUUAUUGUACCAGGAGGUUCCAAAAUUUAUCUAAUCAGGAUCCUAUAUCCAGCUUGUUCAAAAUUGUGGUUGAAUAAGGACUUUCAAAAACUCUUUUCUGACACAAAAGUUUAAUUUUUUAUGAUGUUAUUCUCAUUUCAUGGUGAUUUAAUUCGUUUUUUCUUUCUUUAUGGUUUAGUCAUCUGUGAUAAACUUGCUGCAGACUUCGUAUGUAUUAACUGGUGGACUGAUGGUUCUCUGAUUCACAUUGUAGAUCAGAUUAAUCCUAGAACGAUUGAUGUAUUUGUUUUGUAGCACUAGACUUCUAUAUGCAUUUUAUAAGCCACCUCACACCAAUGGGUCCGUUUGGAUUGGCUUAUUUUUGAGUUUAUGAAAAAUAGCUUAUGCAAAUAUAUAAGCUUUUUAUGUUAAUUCAUAAGUUCUCACUAACGAAAAUUGUAUCCUGUUUUUUCAUAAACUAUCUUGACAAGCUUAUAAAUAAUACAUAAAAGCUUAUUUAUUUGCAUAAGCUGUUUUACAUAAGCUCAAUUAUUUGCUUAAGCUGUUUUCCAUAAGCUCAAUAGUAAGCCAAUCCAAACCAGCUUAUAAUUUCAUUUUGAAAACAGAAUGGUGUUAAACUGACCUUACAAUAAGAUGAAUGUGGAAUCAGUACAUCCUUUCAAAUAGAUUUUUCUGCCCUCAAUGUUUGUAUAUAUAUGCAGGGAAAUGCAAUUCCUUCCUUGACAGACUAGUAUAUGACAGUAAGUUAUUUAUAUUUCUUGAAUUUCUUCAAUAAGAUGCUCUAUUAACAUAUAUAUGGACUUGUUUGGAUUGACUUUUCUGAACUUAUAUACUACCAUAAGCACUUGGGAGAUCGUCUGGUAGAACUUAUAAAAACAGUUUAUGGCUUGUUCAGAGGCUGUUUUCAGCCUAUUUUCGUAAGUUCAUCAAGAUAGCUUAUGAAAAAGCAAAUAGUUUUUAUGAAAAUAGUUUAACUUUAUUUUAUAUCUUGUUAUAGAAAUAACUUAUAAGUGUUUUUAAUGAGAAGCGCUUAUUCUAUAAGCUUCAAAUUAAGCAAUUUAUCCAAACAGGCCUAUAUAUAAGCAAAUUGCAUUUAUUUUCCUUUUGGUAGAUUCAUAAUAAAUAGCUUGGCAGCUUGACAGUUUGACUUUAUAUGUACAUUAAAAACAGUUUAUUUGGGAACAUUGGGCAGCUGUGCUCCUCUGUCCGUCUAAAUAUGUGAUGAAUUUUAAGGUUCUGCGAUGCCAGACAAUUGUGUGUGAGAUAAGUCAAGAAAAAGUUGGUCACUAUGUUUGCUCUUGUUUGGUUUAUUCUUCAAUUGACAAAUUAAGUUUUCUUUCUAGAGAACAUUUUUCUUGGCUAUUCUUGAUGUUGUAAUGAGAUUUCUUUUUCACCGUAUAUUGUCCUCUCAUGAUUAUGGCAAAUUUGUGGCAUAAGUCAUUGAGUAUCUGUUUCUGGUUACCUGUAUAGUGAAUUAUUUUGUUUUAAUUAUAAUUAUAUUAUUAUUAUUAUUAUUCUUAUCUUCUAUCUAUAAACUUAUUAAUGUCAAAGUAUCUGCUUUGAAUUUUUGCUAUAUGGAGAAACAUUGGAAUUGGAUUCAGACAUGGAGGUUAAUACUUAAAUGCUAGACAACCUGAUCCAACUUUGCAGUGCAAAGUCACCUUCAGCCUCCAUUUCCCUGCACUGGUUCUGAACUCUCUGUAUUUGUUAUGAUUUAUUACUAAUAGAGUUUGUUAAUUUGCCGUUAACAGUUUUGGGAUCUAAAUGGAGACAGGUUCAGGAUUUAAAUUCCCUCUACUGGACACACGCAUUCUAUUUCUCCAUUACAUCCUAGUGGUUUUGCAAUAAAAAUUAAAUUUGGGUUUAAAUACCGGAUUGCAGUCGAGUAAGUACAAUUCAGAUUGUAUGAGACAUUUGAUAUGUUGAGGCAUGGGAUAGAGUGUGUGAGUUUUGCCGCUGGGCUCUUUUGAAAGGAAAAAAAAGUAGCAGCUGAUUUUAGAUAUUUCCAUGGUCAAUGAAUUAUUUGUGGUGUUAGUCUACAUUAAUAUUGGUCUCUAUUAUUUUAUCACUCAUCAAAUGAAUUGAUGACCAAAGUCCUUUAUUUUGUGAUGAAAUUAUUGACAUCAUCUUGUGGUCGUGGAAUCAUUAUGUGAUGAAAUUUAAUGAAUUGAUAAUACUUCCAAACUUUUAGGCUGGACAUUUUCAUA